AGUGGCGACCGUUGGACUUCAGCAAUGAGCUAAUGAUUUCCUAGGGUUCGGUUUGUUGUGAACUAUGACCAACAUCUUGUUAUUCUUAAUCGAAGGUGUUGGAGCAUUGGCCGUUCUUUAUUAGAUUGAGUACUGACAACUGAUAAUACUAUUGCAUUGAGGUUUAAAGCAAAAUACAUAUAGUUUUUUUGGUUAUGAAAAUGGAUAUAUGAUUUAGUGAGGCAGCUACAGAGGAGGUAUUUGAGAAUCAUAUAAUUUUUUUAAAGCUUAUGCGUCAUACUAGGACUGUAUAUAUCUGUUAUUAUUAAUAUUGAUAUUAGGACUGUUUAAUGGGUGGUGGGUAGUUCACGUUUUGGUGAAGCAAACAAGAAACCGGUAUGGUUUUAACCCUUUUUUGUAGAAAAAUUUGAAAGUUACUAUUGCUAUGGAGAUUUGAGGUUAAGGGUAUUUGAUGCAGGAGAAUCUAAAUGGAAAAGAUCGAGAUUAUCUUUUAAAUGAAGAAGAUCAAGUUUAUCUUUUA